UACUGGAGAAUCCUGUGGAUUGAACCAACACGUUAGCAGAGUGAGAGGACACAUAGACACACAAAAAACCUUGUAUAAGUAUUUGGCUGUCCCCCCCGAGAUCUCUCCUCUCUUUCUUAGGGCUAGGCACCUUUUUUUCUCUAUUUCUGCCUCAAUGACGUGCCCAAAGUAAACUGCCUGUUGCUCAGGCCCAGAAGCCAGGAUACACAUAUAAUUGGUCGCCAUAUGUGAAUUUAUGAAACCUGCGCCGGUGGAAAAAUAUUUUGAUGUGGGCCGCCGUCCUCAAACAAUCGCAUGGCAUGUUCUCGCUGUAAUAGCUACUGUAAAUCGGACAGUACAGUUAGAUUAACAAGAAUUUAAGCUUUCAACCAAUAUCAGACACUUAUAUGUACCUAAAUGUUUAAUAUCCAUAUUUUUUAUGAUUAUUUAUUUGAAUUGCGCGCCCUCCACUUUCACCGCUAGCGGGACGCCUAUCCCAAAAAGGAUUUAUCUAGACACCACCUUACAAUACGGACUAGAACCUGCGGCAUCAAGUCCAUUACCAAAAACCCACAGAGGACUUCACACCCACCGUCCCAUGGGUUCUACUGAAAACAGUCUUUACUUGUCGUCUUUCACUUGUCAGGCCUCAUCUAUGAAAUGGCCAAUUACUAGUUAUUUAACCUUCAUGUAUUCAGAGUAGUCUCAAUGAUAUAGAGUUUCAUUAACUACCUCUAUUUGUCACGUCCUGACCAUAGAAGCUUUUAUUUUCUAUGGUAGAGUAGGUCAGGGCAUGACGGGGUUUUGUCUAGUUUAAAUUUUCUAUGUUGUUAUGUUAUAGUUUCUGUUUUUCUAUGUUUUUUUCGGGGAUGAUCUCCAAUUAGAGGCAGCUGGUCAUCAUUGUCUCUAAUUGGGGAUCAUAUUUAAGUUGUUGUUUUUCCCACUAGGUUUUGUGGUCGAUUAUUUUGAGUUUGUGUAUGUUGCACCUCUUCGUCACGGUUUGUUGUUUUUGUUUAUUAGUUUAUUGUAUGUCUUGCAUAGUUUCACAGUUAAAUAAAGAUGUGGAACGAUACACAUGCUGCGCUUUGGUCCGCUCCUUCAUACGACAAUCGUGACAGUAUUCAAGUUAGUCUCUGUUAUAUAACCAGGUUAGUCUCUGUUAUAUAACCAGGUGAGUCUCUGUUAUAUAACCAGGUUAAUCUCUGUUAUACAACCAGGUUAGUCUCUGUUAUAUAACCAGGUUAGUCUCUGUUAUAUAACCAGGUUAGACUCUGUUAUAUAACCAGGUUAGUUCAAUACAACUAUGUUAUAUAACCAGGUUAGACUCUGUUAUAUAACCAGGUUAGUCUCUGUUAUAUAACCAGGUUAGACUCUGUUAUAUAACCAGGUGAGUCUCUGUUAUAUAACCAGGUGAGUCUCUGUUAUAUAACCAGGUGAGUCUCUGUUAUAUAACCAGGUGAGUCUCUGUUAUAUAACCAGGUUAGUGCAAUACAACUAUGUUAUAUAACCAGGUGAGUCUCUGUUAUAUAACCAGGUUAGUCUCUGUUAUAUAACCAGGUUAGUCUCUGUUAUAUAACCAGGUUAGACUCUGUUAUAUAACCAGGUGAGUCUCUGUUAUAUAACCAGGUUAGUCUCAGUUAUAUAACCAGGUGAGUCUCUGUUAUAUAACCAGGUUAAUCUCUGUUAUAUAACCAGGUUAGUCUCUGUUAUAUAACC
rnacentral:lncRNA from 1 species